rnacentral:rRNA from 1 species
UACGUAGGUGGCAAGCGUUGUCCGGAUUUAUUGGGUUUAAAGGGUGCGUAGGCGGUCUUUUAAGUCAGUGGUGAAAUACGGCAGCUCAACUGUCGAGGUGCCAUUGAUACUGGAAGACUUGAGUACUGAUGAGGUAGGCGGAAUGGACGGUGUAGCGGUGAAAUGCUUAGAUAUCGUCCAGAACACCGAUAGCGAAGGCAGCUUACUAAGGAGUAACUGACGCUGAGGCACGAAAGUGUGGGGAUCAAACAGG